rnacentral:pre_miRNA from 9 species
AAACAUUCGCGUAAAAGUUAACUCAAUUUUGUAUAGAGUUGGAACGUUUGCCUACUUUUGCCGCUAGGGGCGCUGUUCCAACUGCAUACAAAUGUGAGUUAACUUUUACGCUAUCGA